rnacentral:sRNA from 1 species
CCCCCCGUCUUUGGGGAGUAGCCGCCCUGCCGUCCGGCCCCGUGCCGCACGCCAGGGAGUGCGCGUCAACAUGCUUGGGGCCGCCCGUCGAGGGUCGUUCCAUGGUGCGCACAGUCCUCCGACCUGGCAAGACCAUGGACCAUGCCGCCGCGGGACUGGCCGGGCUGCGCAUGGUCUGUCGUCCGCCUUCCGGCCAGGGAGCU